rnacentral:rRNA from 1 species
UACGAGGGGGGCAAAUGUUGUUCGGAAUCACUGGGCGUAAAGGGAGCGUAGGCGGGUUUCUAAGUCAGGUGUUUAAUCCCGGGGCCCAACCCCGGACAGGCACUUGAAACUGGGAAUCUUGAAUAGUGGAGAGGUCAGUGGAAUUGGGGGUGUAGCGGUGGAAUGCGUAGAGAUCCCCAAGAACACCAGUUGCGAAGGCGGCUGACUGGACACAUAUUGACGCUGAGGCUCGAAAGCAUGGGGAGCAAACAG